AGUUUUGCGCAGUGUUAGUAUCAUAGCCUAUGAAGGUCUACUGAGGCGGGAUUAUUUCUAUUUGAAAACUUUAUGCGUUAUCCUGUUAAUUAUGUUUUUUGACAGACUUGACAAUUUUUUACUAUCUCUCUGGAGA